CAAAAAAAAAAAAAAAAAAAAAAAUACCGUUCUUCUACAAUAUUUUGAUUUCCAGUACAAAUAACUAAACAUCCUUCAAUCAUGAUACAUUAACUUGAGACAAAAAAUUAAGCAAUUAAGUCUUGUUUUCUGGGAAACUGAACAGAAUAAAGUGAGUUUUUGCUUAAAACAAAAACAAAUAUUUGCCAGUGGGGUAUGAAAUUGUUCAUAUUGUUCCUGUGUGUGUGUGUGUGUGUGUGUGUGUGUGUGUGUUUAGGGGUUGUCAGCAGUGAAUGAGCAGUGUGUGUUUGCACUCACACACAGACAUCCAUUAAACGAUUCACCGAUUAAACCUCAACACGCUCUGAAUCUCAAUAACGUUACUUCAUGAAGAUCAGAGGCGGAGUUUUCCUGAUGCAUCACAUCAGAAGCAACAAGGUAUGUUUAUGCAGUUUUUAAUGCAUGGAGGCAGUGUAAAUCACAGGAAACACUGUAUUACAUGCUUGAAGGUUUAUUAUUGAUUUUUGUGUACAGCCAUCAGAAAACAAGACUACUGAUUCUAAUGAUAGACUAUGAAAUCAAAACUAUUUACUUUUCCAGAGCUUCUCCAGCCACUUUAUUUUCAUCAUGCAUUGGAAAUAGUAUAAGGUUCAGCCAUCAAGGCAGGAAGUCUCUUUUCUUCAGGUUCAGCCAUGAAAACAGGAAGUCCCUGUUCUUCAGGAGCAGCGGGAUCAAGCGGUUAUUACGGCUGCGUCACACAGUUCUCCGGUCCUCCGCUGAGCGGCCGGCUGUCCUUGGCUCGACUUUCACCUGCUCGCGGUAGAUGAAGGGAUAAACAGGGGUGAAGAUGAUGGAGAUUGAAAAGGGGAUUAAUCUCCUCCAUUUCAGCCUCAUGACACCAAACCAUUCUUCUGUGGAUCCGCGUCGCUCUCCGCAAAGGGCAGGACUGGAGUCACAGAAACUGAGAUAUGGAUCGAGAGGUGUUUAUGUGGUUAUUCAUGCCUUCUGCUAUCAUACGAGAUGGAAAAUGAGGGAAUUUGGGAUGGAUCGAUGGAAAGGAAUCCAAUUUAGAUCUCUUUAAUAUUUCAGGGUGUUUUCAUGGUUUGGUUGAUUUGGACAAUCGCAUAACAUGACAAUCACAACCCAUUUCACUUUUGUAAUUUAUAAGUGAAAGCAAACGUAGUUCAGUGAGGCUGCAUUUAUUUGAUCAAAAAUACAGUAAAAAUAUGAAAUAUUAUUAUAAUUUAAAAUAACUGUUUUCUAUGUGAAUCUCUGUUAAACUGUAAUUUAUUUCUGUGAUGCACAGCUGUAUUUUCAGCAUCAUUACUCCAGUCUUCAGUGUCACAUGAUCUUCAGAAAUCAUUCUAAUAUGAUGAUUUGCUGCUCAAGAAACAAUCCUGAUUAUAAUCAAUGUUGAAAACAGUUGUGCUGCACAAUAAUAAUUAAAAUCUGUAUGCGUUUCAUAUAAAGUUUUACGAUUUUAUUUUAAUGCUUUUAACACCAGAAGGUUAGUAAUGUGAGACUAUAGAAAGGCUCCUGCAGCUGUCUCUCUCCUUUAGGAAACACAUAAAUGUCUGACAGAUUUUCUCUCUGAAAAUCUGCACUCGAGCGUCCGCUAGAUUUAUACAAACAUAAGAGAGCGUGUGGCCUUUACUGCAGUGCUGUGACCUUUCAGCUGGAGAACAGCGAGAUCCGUCCCGGCCGCUUGUGUAUUAUUAUGAUGAACGAUGUUCAUUAAACGGGUGAGAAUAUCAAUUAGCUGUAAACGAGCGAGAGAAACUUACUCAUUCUGUCACACUGAAGAACUUUAAUUCUUUCAUUCU
ensembl:lncRNA